UUACAAUUAUCUCCCCCUUAGGAUGAUUACGUCCCGGAAUCAUCAACGAAAAUAGAACUUGUAUAAUGAUUCCAUACGCUAUCUCUUCAUCCUAGGUAAUAACCGUAAAUUCUAUGUUUCCUCGAAAGAGUAUUUAACUCUAUGGCUUUCUUGACCGCAGACGAUGCCCAAUCUUGCAUCUGCUUAUCGUACUAUGUUGUACUUUCAAUCGUAACCCUCGAGUUACCAAAUAAGUCAUUAUUAUGGACUCCUUCUUCUUCUCAGGAUAAAUACUUUCCUUUAUCUAUUGUAACAAACCGAUGGGUCGUGCUCUACUGACCUCUCAUCGAAUGAUGCAAUGCUUAGACUCAGGUCUCUUAGAGUUAAAUUCCAAAAUGGAAUAUACCUUCCUUCAUAUUCUAAUGUGAUAUAAUCACAUUUCAGCAUGUAGCAUUUCUACCUACAAACUUCUUUUAACAACGAGCGCGACACUAUCAAUCGCAUUAACUUCAACCUUCUGACUUAAGUCAGAUGUUACAUCUAGCUUGGUCCUCUAGACCACGUAACAUACUCCUUGUAGUCGAAAUCAAAUUUAAACAUGACCACUAGGGUCAGAACAAGAACCAUCUUACUAGUCAUUACCGAAACAAUGGUAAUGACAUACCAGAAUAAAAUGGAGUCAAUCACUAGCUUCUUGGUAACCUUGUGACUUUCCCUAAUCCAAGUGCGAGUCCUGUGCUUCCGGUAGUAUAUGCAUCUACUACCUUUCACACCUACUCAUACUCGUCCCAUGUAUUGUCCUGCAGUCGACCGAGUCACCAUACAAGAAAAUCAGACAAUCAUUCAACACAUCAGUUAGCAAAACUAGGGUUUAUAUUAAUUCCUUGAAACGAUUACACAAAAGUUCAAGUUCACCCUAUACUACGCCUCUAGUAGGCUACACUUCCUGAUACAGACUUUAUAUAUCGACGUGAAGUCUUCAUCCUUGAAUCCUCGCAUUGUUUUCUGCUUCAUCGAUGAUCAUGUGCAAUGCUCUUGGUUUUGGUGGUGCAUUUGGCUUUAUAGCCUCUUCUCUUCUUGGGCAAUUUUGCUUGAAGUGUCCUUCUUCACCACACUUAAAGCAGGCUUCUCUUUUGUUUGGGCAUUUGCUGGCGUAAUGACCAGUCUUCCCGCAUUUGAAGCAGGUCAUUUUUUUAGAGCAUUCCCCAAUGUGCUUGCUUUUGCACUUGUCACACCAUUGUGCCCCUUCUUCGAGCUUCUUCAGAUCAGACUUCGAAAAUUUUCUUUUCUCAUUAGAACCUGAAGUUCCUUCUAAAUUUCUCUUCUCGCCAACUUCAACCUUACUGUCAGUCCUCCCCUUGAUCAUAUUCUCAACAGACUUGGCAGCCCAAAUAGAUGCCUCUAGAGUAGGUGCCUGACGCACUGGCACCGCAUACUCCCAAGGGAGUCCCUUUGCGUACCGGUCGACUUUUGUCAGUUCGUCUGGGACGAUGCGCAAAGCAAACUCCAUCUUGUCUGUGAAGGCAUUAGUGUAUUCAUCCACUGACAUGCUGCCUUUCUUCAAUAUCAGAAACUUAUUCUCCAACUCCAAUAGAUUUUGAGCAGAGCAGAACUUGCGCUUGAAUUGCACCAAGAACUCUGCCCAGGUCAGUUGCAGUGGCUCAUUAGGACUUAGGAUCUUCCCCAAAGUGUUCCACCAACGAACAGCCCCACCCCUGAACUGACGCACUGCAUAGGUAGUCUGCAACUUGCCUCUGCAGCCACAAGUCAUGAAGGCUAGCUCCAUUUUCGAUAUCCAAUCCAUAACUCCGAUCGGAUCUUCCUUUUACAGUGAAGGUCAAUGGUUUGCAAGUCAGAAAAUCCUUAUACUUGCAUCCCAUUCCAUCAUUCCUUCCAUUCUGGUUGUUUUGCCUAACUAUCGGUGGGUUGGCUUGAUCAACAGAUCCACUAAAGUUUCCACCUUCCGAGUGCCCUUCAUUCACUUUUGGCUCUUCCACUUGAAUUAACAGUUCUUCACGAGUCUAUUGAAGCAGACGUCUCGUUUCAUCCAUCUGACGAUCCAACAUCGUCUGAAUCAUCAAUUGUACACCGGCCGUUGUUAUCGGCUCAGGUGCUGCUGCUAUGAACGGUAUUUGCUCAAUCACUGGUGGUUGAUUCCUGUUUUCAUCAGCAUUUCCAACUCCACUUCUUGUUCUCACCAUUUUUGAUCUACACACCGAAUAAGGUGAAAUUAGAUCCUCAAUCACGAUAGAUAUUCAAAUCAUCCUUAUCACUCCGAAACGUUUACAUGCUAGUUCUAAUAUCGUAGACGUACGCUUAGAAUCCUACACACAUAAGGUUUCCAGAUCCGGUCGGCAACAGACCAUAGAUCCGAACAAAUAAUAGCAUCAAUUUAGCUAUCACACAAAACAUUUAGCACAUAAAAGCAUUUUAGGCAUCAUUCCUAAAAUGAACUAGUGCUUGUGUCAAUUUAGGUGUACUACCUAACAUAUUUUAGACACACUCCUCACAAUCAUUACUUAGCAUUCUAAGUUUAAGUCUAGAAAUUUCCUACAAAUUCGUAGUUCGCUUAAACUAAUGCUCUAAUACCAACUGUGACAACCCCAUUUUCACGGCCAGAAAAGACCGAUUUGUAUAUGCUUGUUUUUAAAAUCAGAGUACUCUUUUAAAGAAAACAGUUGCGGAAUUUGUUCCCAAAACAAGAUAUGAUAAUAACUUAUCAAAACAUUUCUCAAAGAGAAUGUAUUUUCAUUUAAUAAUAAAACCUCGGGAUGUCAUGUUCCGAUACAGACAUAUAAGCAUAAACAGAACUUACAUUUAAUUACACAAUUGAUUUAUAUCUCCUUUAAAUCUCUCUGUGAAAUAUGUCUUCGUACUAAUACCUGUGAUACAAAGAAAACUGAGUGGGUCAGGCUUGGGAGCCUGGUGAGCAUAUAGGGUUUUCAUCCCACAAUGUUAUAUCAUAUAUUUAUAAAUAUAGAACAUUCAAACUUGUACAAUUUCACCAUAUAAAGGCAACUCUUAUCCCACCCCAUCGAUCCUCACAACGACACGAUCUAAACUCUCGUAUCUAAAAUUUUCCUCUUUACCUGAUCCCUACUCACGGAUCUAAAACUAUCCUCUUCACCCGAUCCAUACUCACGGAUCUAAAACUAACCUCCUGAUCUGAUCCAUACUCCCGGAUCAAUAAUUGUACCCAAUCCAUACUCCCGGAAUAGGGACAAUUAACUAUACCUUAAUCCUGAUCUGAUCCAUACUCCCGGAUCAAUAACUGUGCCUAAUCCAUACUCCCGAACUAGGGACAAUUAACUUAGUCUUAAUCCAUACUCCCGGACUAAUAACAAGUUUUUAUCUCUUUACCUGAUCCAUACUCCCGGAUCUAAAAUUAACCUCUUGGUCUAAUCCAUACUCACUGAAUAACUAGAUCAACAACAACGACAUCGGGGCCUCUCAUCUGUUUAUCACACAUCAACUGUCUCCCCAUGUUCUACCCAACAUAUUAGUAGAUAAAAAUAUAUAUUUUUAUACAUAGUUUAAAACCUGUAUAACAUUCUCAUUCAAUACCUAUUCCACAUAACAGAUGAGGCACACCCACAUAACACGUAUUUCAUAGAGAAUAAAUCAGAUCUAUGAGAUAGAAGAAAGUGAAUAUACAUUCACACACAUAACAACAAAAUUAUACACAUAACACGUAUUUCGUAUAAAAUACUUCAUAAUUAUGCGUUAGAAGAAAGUAACCACACACUCACUUGAUUAGAAGAUGAUCGGACAGCACUACGACUUGUAGAAGUAGUAUUCUUCGGUAGAUCUGGAAGAUCUUCACAAAAACCGGGCUCCUCGCGGGCAGAGCUUCGGCUCUGGAAUUGCACUUCUCGGGAUCUUCGGGGCCUCAGGACUCGCUUUGGGGCUCGGGAAUGAUACUGGGGCUUCGAGAUAUUUCUUGCACGAAAAACGAUACAAAAACGCGAGAAAAAAGGAAGAAAUGAGCAAAGAAGUCGGUUGCCCUCGACACCCUUUUAUAGGGGGCUGAAACACGAAUUACGUUGGGCGUCAUUCUAAAUUACGCUGGGCAUAAUGGGGAUAAGAAUGCUGACUCCCCCCCCCCUUGGAUAAUAUCGGAUAUUUUUAAUUAAUUUUAAAUACCGAAAUUAUUAAAUAAACUUCAAAAAUUCAUAUCUUCCUCAUACGAACUCCGUUUUCAACGUUUUUUAUAUCCCUGCGUAGGUGAGACUACGCUCUACAACUUUCGUUUGGACUCUGUCGGCUAGUUUUGAAUUGAUUUUUAUUAUUUAUUUUUAGUAGGCCGGGACAAGAAAACUCCGUUACAAAAUCAUAACUUCUUUAUCCAACGUCCGUUUUCGCCUAUCUUUUCAUCGUUUUACUACAAUUAAUGAGAUCUUCGAUUCUCAUUUAGAUUGUUUCGACUAAAAACCGCUCGGUCUCAAAUCGAGUAUUCAGGCUGCAUACCGAUAAGUUGAAACUUCGAAAAAUCAUAACUUCCUCAUACGAAGUCAGAUUUGGGCGUUCUUUUUAUGCACGCUCACGGUUUAACGUAUUCUACGACUUUCAAUUAGAUUGUUAAGGCUAAAUAUCACCCUAACGUAAAUUCACUUUUUACGUCGCGCUGUGUCGUUCUGGUUCUGUCGCGAAACUUCAACAGGUCACAACUUCUUCGUUAUAACUCGGAUUUCGGCGUUCUUUAUAUGCACUGAAACCUUGUGACAUAUACUACNAACUUAGUUAAGAUUAUUCAUUCUAAAUAAUCUUUCAUCAAAAAUUCAUUUUUGACGCCUAUCGUCUCUAAAUUGACUAGCCCUGAUCUACGGGCGUUACAAUUAUCUCCCCCUUAGGAUGAUUACGUCCCGGAAUCAUCAACGAAAAUAGAACUUGUAUAAUGAUUCCAUACGCUAUCUCUUCAUCCUAGUUAAUAACCAUAAAUUCGAUGUUUCCUCGAAAGAGUAUUUAACUUUAUGGCUUUCUUGACCGCAGACGAUGCCCAAUCUUGCAUUUGCUUAUCGUACUAUGUUGUACUUUCAAUCGUAACCCUCGAGUUACCAAAUAAUUCAUUAUUAUGGACUCCUUCUUCUUCUCAAGAUAAAUACUUUCCUUUAUCUAUUGUAACAAACCGAUGGGUCGUGCUCUACUGACCUCUCAUCGAAUGAUGCAAUGCUUAGACUCAGGUCUCUUAGAGUUAAAUUCCAAAAUGGAAUAUACCUUCCUUCAUAUUCUAAUGUGAUAUAAUCACAUUUCAGCAUGUAGCAUUUCUGCCUACAAACUUCUUUUAACAACGAGCGUGACACUAUCAAUCGCAUUAACUUCAACCUUCUAACUUAAGUCAGAUGUUACAUCUAACUUGGUCCUCUAGACCACGUAACAUACUCCUCGUAGUCGAACUCAAAUUUAAACAUGACCACUAGGGUCGGAACAAGAACCAUCUUACUAGUCAUUACCGAAACAAUGGUAAUGACAUACCAGAAUAAAAUGGAAUCAAUCACUAGCUUCUUGGUAACCUUGUGACUUUCCCUGAUCCAAGUGCGAGUCCUGUGCUUCCGGUAGUAUAUGCAUCUACUACCUUUCACACCUACUCAUACUCGUCCCAAGUAUUGUCCCGCAGUCGACCAAGUCACCAUACAAGAAAAUCAGACAAUCAUUCAACACAUCAGUUAGCAAAACUAGGGUUUAUAUUAAUUCCUUGAAAUGAUUACACAAAAGUUCAAGUUCACC
rnacentral:lncRNA from 1 species